GAACAACGCUGGCGGCGUGCCUAACGCAUGCAAGUCGGGCGGGCGCCCCCUUCGGGGGGCGUCAGCGGCGGACGGGUGAGGAACGCGUGGGCAACCUGCCCCGAAGUGGGGGACAACUCCGGGAAACCGGGGCUGAUACCGCAUACGUUCGCCCCCUCGACGGGGGGUGAGCAAAGCCGCGAGGCGCUUUGGGAGGGGCCUGCGUCCGAUUAGCUGGUUGGCGGGGUGACGGCCCACCAAGGCGACGAUCGGUAGCUGGUCUGAGAGGACGGCCAGC
rnacentral:rRNA from 1 species